rnacentral:rRNA from 1 species
GUGUCGGCUUAAGUGCCAUAACGAGCGCAACCCCUCUCCUUAGUUGCCAUCAGGUCACGCUGGGCACUCUGGGGACACUGCCACCGUAAGGUGUGAGGAAGGUGGGGAUGACGUCAAAUCAGCACGGCCCUUACGU